AUACGAGCGAUGAAAAGAAGAGUACGCAAGGAGUACUGCCACAGAGAGCUUCCGUUUGGUGCAAGGAAGCGCAGGAGACUUUGCCGAAGAUGGUCUUGGAGCUGAUUGGCUGAAGCGUAAGUUUAGGUCGUCCGGGUGCACCCGUUACAGUGCUGAAGUAUUAAUGGCUUAGUCCGGCGUACUUGAGGAGGCUGCUAUCGUGAGGUAGCAGUGAAAUUGGGUGGUACCACGAAGUUUGCUUUCGUCCCUUAC
rnacentral:ncRNA from 1 species